rnacentral:rRNA from 1 species
UACGUAGGCGACUAGCGUUGUCCGGAAUUACUGGGCGUAAAGCGCGCGUAGGCGGCAUACCAAGUCUGUUGUGAAAUCCCCCGGCUCAACUGGGCGGUGUCAAUGGAAACUGGUAAGCUGGAGGACGGUAGAGGCGAGUGGAAUUCCCGGUGUAGUGGUGAAAUGCGUAGAGAUCGGGAGGAACACCGGUGGCGAAGGCGGCUAUCUGGACGGUUUCUGACGCUAAGACGCGAAAGCGUGGGGAGCAAACAGG